rnacentral:rRNA from 1 species
UACGUAGGGUGCGAGCGUUAAUCGGAAUUACUGGGCGUAAAGCGUGCGCAGGCGGUUGGUUAAGUCUGAUGUGAAAGCCCCCGGGCUCAACCUGGGGAAUGGCAUUGGAAACUGUCCAGCUGGAGUGUGGCAGGAGGGGGGGUGGAAUUCCGACGUGUAGCAGUGAAAAUGCGUAGAGAUGUGGAGGAACACCGAUGGCGAAGGGCAGCCCUCCUGGGGCCAGCACUGACGC